rnacentral:siRNA from 1 species
UUAGAGUGCUCAAAGCAAGCCU